UCUUUCUUCACAUCCCUGAGUUAAGUUGUUCUUUAUCAGGGAGUUUUUAUGCUUUUUUUUGUUAAGAAUAAAGAAAUUUAAAAACAUGUCUGUUGGUGGUGGUCUGUCAUUUGCAUCUUUGUUAAUUUCAACUUGAAAUCUACUUUGUGGAUUGAAAGAAUUCAAAUUCAACUGUGAAAUCUGUAGUUAUAAAUAUAGUAAAAAGCUGUUUAGGUUUCUGCAUCCACUGGUUUAAAGUAGAUGGUUUUGUAUUCUUACUGCUGGUUGUCAUCUAAGCAAAUAGCAGAAACUUUUAUGAAAUAAAUAUUUUGUCAGGUUUCCACAUAAGAAAGAAAUGAAUUGAAAAAAAGAUUUAUAUAUGUGUCACAAAAUAGAUUUUUCUUCUUGCAAAUGAUUGACACUGCUUCCCGGGCCCUUAAAAAAGCUGCCCAAUGCUCACCAUGGUGAUGGGUUAAAAGCAGAGGCUCAGUUUCGUUGUAUCCCCCUGUUACAAUGACAAUAAAGUCCAUAAAAAUAAAUAAAUAAUACUUUUGACAGCUGUCUCGCGUGUGUUUUUUUUUUCACGAGAUUUGGGGCUUUACGGGUUUCUUAUGUCAAAUAUGUAUAUAAUCACAUCCUCGCGAGAUCGCGAGAAUGACGCGAGUCCAGCUUUCGCGGGCAAUGGGUGACCAAAUGUAAUUCAAACGGUUGUCUCGUAAAGAUAAAAGUUUUAGGUCAACUUUUCGUAUUGCUAUGAUUCAGGACACGUCCCUUAAGCAGUUACGUUUGUGGAUAAAUUUACUAUCUGAUUUUGUCACCGUAAAUGAUAGAGGGAAUCUUCUGUAUGCUAAAUGGGACCAUCUCUGUCUCACUGGCUUUGCUUGUCUUCUGUUGCCUCCUGGAAUUAAAGGAAGGCCAUAUGCCAAUUCCAAGGACCAAUAGCUCCUGAGAUGUUAACGGCCAUGUUGCUCUGCAAGGAUGUUCUUGUAAAUGUUGGAGGUGAAGACAGAAGCUGCAGAAAUCAACACAGAGUCAGCUGAUGACAUCACAGCAGCAGCCACACACCCAAUACCAAUAAUGGAGAUAUAGGAAGGUGUGAGGUGCUGCAAUGUGAGGGGCAGGAUCAGGGCUGCCUCACCACGUUCGUAUGGAGACGGAGAACCAUAUGAAGUGAGAUUCCAAUCUGAGCAAAAGAAGAUGGAGUGAACCAAUCCAAGGAGCCUUUAAGGUGUUCAACAGUGUGGCCAAUGUCUCAGAAGCUGGGGUUCAUCAAAACAAAGGGAACUGAGAGCCACUACACAAUUCAGAACCAGGGAAAGUGUAAGGUGUUGUUCUUCAGUGUCUGGCUAAUGUCCACGGUGCUGGGGUUCAUCAACACAAAGGGAACACAGAGCCACUGCAGAGACAGACGAUAAGGGAAAGUGUAAGGUGUUGUUCUUCAGUGUCUGGCUAAUGUCCACGGUGCUGGGGUUCAUCAACACAAAGGGAACACAGAGCCACUGCAGAGACAGACGAUAAGAAUCUUGGACUGGACUCAGCUGUUGUGGUGAAAGCUGGAUUUUAACCUUGAACACGUCACACCUCUCAGGAAGCAGGUCUUUGUUG